GAUGAAGAACGUAGCGAAAUGCGAUAAGUAAUGUGAAUUGCAGAAUUCAGUGAAUCAUCGAAUCUUUGAACGCACAUUGCGCCCCUUGGUAUUCCGAGGGGCAUGCCUGUUCGAGCGUCAUUAUAACCCUCAAGCUCAGCUUGGUGUUGGGGCCUGCUGCAGUGGCAGCCCUUAAAAUCAGUGGCGGCGCCAUCUGGCUCUAAGCGUAGUAAUUCUUCUCGCUAUGGAGUCCUGGUGGAUGCUUGCCAUCAACCCCCAAUUUUUCUAUGGUUGACCUCGGAUCAGGUAGGGAUACCCGCUGAACUUAAGCAUAUAAUAAGCGGAGGA
rnacentral:misc_RNA from 1 species